rnacentral:lncRNA from 1 species
UCUAAUCUAGUAGAUCCCUGCCUAGUUGUUAUAAUCUAGUAGAUGACCCUGCUCUAGUUGUUCUAAUCUAGUAGAUGAUCCCUUCUCUAGUUGUUCUAAUCUAGUAGAUGAUCCCUAUUCAGUUGUUUCAAUCAGUAGAUGACCUACACAGUUUCUAAUCUAACAGUUGAUGCUGCUCUAGUGUUCUAAUCUAGUAGAUGAUCCCUGCUUAGUUGUCAAUCUAACAGUUGAUGCCUGCUCUAGU